GAACUGGGUGUGGUGCAAAAAUAAUGAAUACUGUUAUGCUGAAAAUAAAUAAAAGAAAAAAAGAAAAGAAAAGUCAACCAACGGGAAGAAUAAUGGGAUUGUGACACAAACCGCAUGUGCGUGCGUGUGUGUGUUUUCCGUGUCUUCUGUGCCUUCCCCUAAAUUCAGUUGCUUGAAGGCAGUAUCUAACACGUGUUCAUCUCUUCAUUCCCAGUGUCUGGAAGAUGGAAAGUAAAUGCUUAGAAAAUGUGUGGGUCAAUCUAUAGCACAAUUUUUGGGCUGCUGUUCAUCUUAAGUGAGGAACUAAAUGCUUGCUUAGAAAUAAUCUCACACAGAAUCUUUAGGAUUUCCCAAAUCUUCAUAUUACUAAAACUCAGGAUGCAUGUGUUCUGAAAUUCAAAGGGUAAAACAUUAUUCUUGUAUUGAUUAGUCUAUUCAGGCAAAGAAACUAUCGUAAAGAUUCUAUCACUGUGAUCUUAAGUCCUUGGUUUUUACCUUUUCUGUUCAAGAUCACAUAGUGCAUUACAUUUAGAUGUUAAUGUUAAUGUUAGGCUCCUCAAUUUCUCAGACUUUGACUAGUGAUCUUGACAGUUAGAAAGAGUGUACUUCUCAGGUGUUCUGUGGGAUGCCUUUCUGUUGGAAUUUGAUGAUUAGACUGGUGUUGUGGGGUAUGGAGAGUAAGACCAGAAGGGCAAAGUGCCUUUUCACCAUAUGACAUCAAGGGUUUGCAUAUCCCUUUGACAUAUUCUCAUCAGUGUGUUGUUUGCUUCCUGUUUGUUUGUUUGUUUGUUUGUUUUGAGUACUUUCUUAUGCUGUGGUCCAUGCUCUGCUUGAAAAUUUCCUGCCCCAGCCCUAGAAUCAGCCAUUUCUCCAAGGAGCCCUGGAGAACAGUAUUAAAAACCAAGAUCUGGGUACUAAGUAUGCUUGUCGCUAUUGGAUGUUCUUUCUUUUAUGCUCGCUCAGCAGACAGAGAAAAGACAUAUGUGUGUGUUUAUUAGCUUCUGUACAGUCACCCUUCCCAGCUUAUUCUUGAUCUUGCUUUCUGGGGCUCUGGUUUCCUGUGGUCAGAUGAUCUUCCUUCUGACUUAUCGCCCGAAGGUCAAUGGUAGCCGAACGCUGGGUGACAGCACCUAGGUCGGCCAGCUCAUUUCCUCCCAUCAGGCAGGCAUUUUACCACCUCACGUCACCAUAACAAGGAGGAGGAGGAGUGCAGUAAGGUAUUUUGAGAGAGGGAGAGAGACAGCAUUCACAUCACUUUUAUUCCAGUGUAUUGUUAAAAUUGGUCUAUCUUCUUAUUAGGGAUUGCUAAUCUCUCACCGUGCCUCAUUCAUACAUUAAACUUCAUCAUAGGUGUGUGUGUGUGUAGAGGAAAAAACAGAAUAUAUGCAGGUUUCAGGUAUCCCCUAGGGGUCUUGGAAAGUGUACUCCGCAGAUGAGGAGGGCCGCCGCAGGUACCAUGUAUCUGCAAACAUUCUUACGUGUGACUGGAUGUAUCAUAAGCUGGACAUUCUUACUGAUGUCUCCCACUGCAGUCCAGUCCCAUUGGACUGGAUCAUUUUCGCCUCCUCCCUUGCUUAUCUGGGAACUCCCAGUCGAACAGGGAGAAACCUGGCUUCGACCAUCCCCAACCCACUUAAUUGUUCAAUUUGGUUUUCAUGCAAAGCGGCAUCAGAAUUGUUCACCUGUACUGGUGGGAGGAGGGGUUGCGUGGUCAGUUACAAAGCAGUGUGUAUGUGCCAUCUCCUUGCCUCUAGUUCUUAGAGACUCACUCCCAAAGUGACUGGGGUCAGCACCUGUCUGUCCUUCCACACCACGCAGCGAGGUGUUUUGCACAUUUGCAGUGUAGUUGGAGUCUUGUCACUGUCUCCACUCUUUCCUCUCACUUCUCAGCCUAAGUGACGUUUAAAAUUUGCAUAUCUUGGGCGACCGACUCUUGGUUUUGGCGCAGGUCCUGGUCUCUGAGGGGUUUCAGGUUCGGGUCCCAAGUGUGGCUUUGCGCUCAGAGCCGAGUCUGCUGGGGGACUCUCUCCUUCUCUCUCUGGCCCUUCGUCUGCUCAUGCUGUCUCUCUCUCAAAAUGAAUAAACGAAUAAAUCUUUUUAAAUUUGCGUAGAUCAAGGUUCACUGUCCAUGCUGUGAGUUCUGUGGUCUUAACAAGUGUAUAAUGUCAUGUGUGCACCGUUACAAUGUUGUACAGAAUUCUUUCACAGCCUAGAAGUCCCCCAGGCUUCACCCACUUCUCCCUCCCUCUCCCCUGCACCCCUUAGGGAUCACGGAUGCGUUUACUGUCUUUAUAGUUUUGCCUUUUUCCAGAAGGUCCCCGGAGUAGAACCCUACAGUAGGCAGCCUCUUGAGCUCGACUUCUCUCGCUGAGAAUAUUCAACAAAGGUCGUGUGCGCUGCAUCUUUUUGUGGCUUGAGAGCUCAUUUAUUUCAUUCCUGCCACUGACUACUGUUCUCUUGUGCAGAUAUACAACCCUUUGUGUACUCGUUCACCUGUUGAAAGAUAUCUUAGUUGCUUCUGUGCUUGGUGAUUAUGAAUAAAGCUGCUCUCUGCGUUUGCAUACAAAUGUUUGUGUGAACCCAAGUUCUCAACUCCAUUGGGUAAAUAAAUACUUCAGUGUGAUUCCUGGACUGUCUGGUGAGAUUGUGCUUAACUCUGGGAAGAUCUGCCAAACCAUCUUCCGACGGGCAUGGCCAUGCGGUUUUGCCUUCCCAGCAGCAGUGGACCCACUUUGUCACGCGUUUGCCGAGCCCCCAGUUCGCUCCAGUUCCUUCCUGGCCUCCAUUCCACCUGUGGACUCUGCCCACGGUACUCCCUGCAACUAGCUUCGGGACAACUAAAACAUUAAAUGUUCAUUCGGUCGACCCCAAACCACCAGCAGCUGCUCAAAACCAAAAAUAAAAGCCGGUAGUGACGUUCCUCUCCCUCCUCACCCCUGCUGCCCUCCUUCCCCCCUACCAAAACCUCAGCUGCUUUUGGAGAAAGACAACUAGAGAUGAAGCUAAGAUCUCCCCGUCCCCAAGGGGGACCAAAGGCCAUAUACACUUGUGUCAGUACAGGAGGGAGGACCCAAAUUGAUGGCCAAAUCACCAAACUACCUUGUCCCAGAAGAGGAAAAGCUUCCGGAGAACAGGACUGUUGGAAUGGACUGAGGGAUGGAGCGGAUGCAGCUUGUGCAGGGGGCAGAAAGGGGUCCCUGGGCCUUGGUGCUCACCAGAUACCCAGUGGUACACGGAGGGGAACUAGCUCUGGGGCUUCGGUGCGGACCCUGGAGCGAGAGGACAAAGAAGGGAAAGAGACUGACAACUGCGUUCUCUCCUCCCCAGCCCACCCUGCCCGCCCUCCAUAACCUGACCCCACCACCUGGAAAGUCCCUUGACUUGUACUGCCCUUGAAUGGGAAGAAAGCAGUCUGACUCAAGUAGUGGGGUUUAGGCAAGAUUGAGGUGGGGGAGGAAAACCGAAGUGAUCCUGUGGCUGGUGGCUUUGGGGGAUUCGAUGAUCCCUGCUGUGGUGUAGCCCAGAACUCCGUCUCCUAAGUGCCACCGGGGAUUCUCCUGUUAAGGAACCGCUUCAUGUUGGACAUGUGGCUUGUCCGCGAACCAUUUCCCUGCCCCCACCCCCACUCCCACCCCACACCCCGACGAUUCCAGUAAAAAUAAUACAGAAUUUCCAAAGAAGAAAGAGGAAAUCCCAGUUUGGGCUAACUGCGGGAAGGCCAGUGGAGCGCCCAGAGAGGCCAUUUCCUGGUACAACGUCGCCACCUGCUGGAUGUAUCCAGUACCGCACCUUCUAAACAAAGCCCUUGACCUGUUGCUAAGCCCUCUUGAAACUGACCUCUGGACAUCCGGAGGUCCCUUCCACCGGACUCGGACUCUCAUUCACUGACAAAGGAAGGAUCCAAAGGGGUUGGCAGUCAAAUACAAACGGUAUGUACAUUCAGGAGCUCA